rnacentral:rRNA from 1 species
AACGAACGCUGGCGGCAGGCUUAACACAUGCAAGUCGAGCGCCCCGCAAGGGGAGCGGCAGACGGGUGAGUAACGCGUGGGAAUCUACCCAUCUCUACGGGAUAACGCAUGGAAACGUGUGCUAAUACCGUAUACGUCCUUCGGGAGAAAGAUUUAUCGGAGAUGGAUGAGCCCGCGUUGGAUUAGCUAGUUGGUGGGGUAAAGGCCUACCAAGGCGACGAUCCAUAGCUGGUCUGAGAGGAUGAUCAGCCACACUGGGACUGAGACACGGCCCAGACUCCUACGGGAGGCAGCAGUGGGGAAUAUUGGACAAUGGGCGCAAGCCUGAUCCAGCCAUGCCGCGUGAGUGAUGAAGGCCCUAGGGUUGUAAAGCUCUUUCACCGGUGAAGAUAACGACGGUAACCGGAGAAGAAGCCCCGGCUAACUUCGUGCCAGCAGCCGCAGUAAGAC